CCUACGGGAGGCAGCAGUGAGGAAUAUUGGUCAAUGGGCGCGAGCCUGAACCAGCCAAGUAGCGUGAAGGAUGACUGCCCUACGGGUUGUAAACUUCUUUUAUAAAGGAAUAAAGUGAGGCACGCGUGCCUUUUUGUAUGUACUUUAUGAAUAAGAAUCGGCUAACUCCGUGCCAGCAGCCGCGGUAAUACGGAGGAUCCGAGCGUUAUCCGGAUUUAUUGGGUGUAAAGGGAGCGUAGAUGGGUUGUUAAGUCAGUUGUGAAAGUUUGCGGCUUAACCGUAAAAUUGCAAUUGAUACUGGCAGGCUGGAGUACAGUUGAGGUAGGCGGAAUUCGUGGUGUAGCGGUGAAAUGCUUAGAUAUUACGAAGAACUCCGAUUGCGAAGGCAGCUUACUAAACUGCAACUGACAUUGAGGCUCGAAAGUGUGGGUAUCAAACAGGAUUAGAUACCCGAGUAGUC
rnacentral:rRNA from 1 species